rnacentral:tRNA from 1 species
UGUUCUAUAGCUUAGUUGGUUAAAGCGCCGGACUAGCAAAAACGGAGUUGUGGGUUCGAAUCCCACCAAAACAA